ACAUCCAGAGAAUUUAGCAGAGAUGCUUUAGUGCCUUCGGGAACUCUGAGACAGGUGCUGCAUGGCUGUCGUCAGCUCGUGUUGUGAAAUGUUGGGUUAAGUCCCGNAACGAGCGCAACCCUUAUCCUUUGUUGCCAGCACGUAAUGGUGGGAACUCAAAGGAGACUGCCGGUGAUAAACCGGAGGAAGGUGGGGAUGACGUCAAGUCAUCAUGGCCCUUACGAGUAGGGCUACACACGUGCUACAAUGGCGCAUACAAAGAGAAGCAACCUCGCGAGAGCAAGCGGACCUCAUAAAGUGCGUCGUAGUCCGGAUUGGAGUCUGCAACUCGACUCCAUGAAGUCGGAAUCGCUAGUAAUCGUAAAUCAGAAUGUUACGGUGAAUACGUUCCCGGGCCUUGUACACACCGCCCGUCACACCAUGGGAGUGGGUUGCAAAAGAAGUAGAUAGCUUAACCUUCGGGAGGGCGUUUACCACUUUGUGAUUCAUGACUGGGGUGAAGUCGUAACAAGGUAGGCGUAGUGCU
rnacentral:rRNA from 1 species